rnacentral:lncRNA from 7 species
GGGGGUUUUGGGCUCCCCAGAAACAAUCUACCACUUUAGGCUGUGUUCGGUUCCCUGGGAUAUAAUCCCCAAGAUGAAUUUUUCCACCCAGGGAAUGAGUGAUCCCCAUGCGGUCACUUAAUCCCGUUGGGGGUACAAUCCCUGUCAGGGAAUAAUCCCUAUGCCAAAAUCCUGUUCGGUUAAGCCAUGGCUGAAAAUGCUAAAAGCAAUACUAGAACGGUACGAUUCACAAAAUAUCUCCAGAUGGCGUAGAGGAGGUUGGAGAGGCACACAAUUGAGCAGCCAAUGCCAAUGCCAAUUAUGAAGCAACUGUUCAAAUGAGUAGCUACAGAUAAUUCAUAGAUCCAUAUAAACAAAAGCAAGUCGCACGCUGCGUGGAUGAUUCAAUUACAAAAUUCAAAGGCAAAAUUAGUUUACAAGAACCACAUUAUUACAGUACAGCCCUUGUUCAUAAUACCUAAUGUUCAUUGGUUUCUUCAGAUGCAGCUCUCUGUCAUAAACACCAAAUAUAAGAGCAAGUUAGGCCUAGGAGACAAGAUAUAAAUAGAGUAACUUUGCACAGUUAAAGAACAAAAUGCAUAUUUUAACGGAAGUGAUUUUUUUUAUUGGUAUGGUCCUGACCAAACUAAAAAAUAUGAGCCAAAGAAAGUUACAAGGAACGAAUUUGCUGCAAGCUCCGUUAUGAAGCCAUGGGCAAACGCAUAGAGCAACAAAUCAAAUUGGUACAUGUAAGAUUCUAUAGAUUAUAGAAUAAAUCGAAUUUGCUGCAAGCUCCGUUAUGAAUUUCCACUUGCAGUCAACUGAUCAG